UACGAAGGUUGCGAGCGUUGUUCGGAAUCACUGGGCUUAAAGCGCAUGUAGGCGGCCCGUCAAGUGCCUUGUGAAAUCCCACGGCUCAACCGUGGAAUGGCUUGGCAUACUGUCGGGCUUGAGGCAGGUAGGGGCGCAUGGAACUCUUGGUGGAGCGGCGGAAUGCGUAGAUAUCAAGAGGAACGCCGGUGGCGAAAGCGGUGCGCUGGGCCUGUCCUGACGCUGAGAUGCGAAAGCCAGGGGAGCAAACGGG
rnacentral:rRNA from 1 species